CUUUAAUUCGGUUUGCAGUUUUAAAAGACAUGUAAUCUUUAAUCUUUUACAUAGAUCAUUUUGAAAUAUACAGACAAAUGUUCACCGCGGUGAGUUUAACUUUUCGUUCGGGUUUUGUUGUUCUGCUUAUUGGGCUUGUUCGUGCUUGUGACCGCCAACCGCGUUGCAUAUCUGCGCUUCUGUCACUCCGUUAUCAGUGCGGACCCCUCCCCGAGUUUGCCCUGCGCCCCUUCAGACGAAGCCCUCCACCCCUUACCAGCAAUCACCACCACGUCGUUUCACUUUUCUACCGGUGACUUUUCCCGCGACGCUUAGAAGCUUCAUUCCUGCUUCAUUUAAUAAUAGUAUUAAUUCCUGCUUCAUAUAACAAUCGAAUUAUUAUUAUUAUUAUUAUUAUUAUUAAUAGUCAAUUAGAACUAAUAAAUUAAGUAACAUUUUGUGUAUUUUUGAACGUGUUCUACUCGAGCUAAAUUAGUGGGCGAUGCGCCGCCGCGGUAGUUGGGCAGCCCCUCUUGAGACUCGACGCACAGCCACGGACUUUCCUCCAGCUUAAUACCGGAGAUCUUCAGUCAAAUAAUUUACUUUUCAUGCAAAACAGUUAUGUAUAAGGCCACAGUUUCCCCGGGGAAAGGCAAUAAAACAUGUAAUUUUGAUUAACACUGAUGACUCGUUCCUUUCAGUUUAGCAGAAAAAUCCAGACUUGCGCAUAACAAACCGAGGUUUUUGACGUGAUACGAUGUUAUACCCAGCAUUUCCUUGAUUGGUAGUUCGCGUCAGUAUCAGUCAUGUACAUAUCCGUAGUUCAAAUUAUGGGUAAAAGAAUCCAGAAUUUUAUAUUUGGUGGUGCACUACAACAUACUCAUCGAUUAAAUAUAACGUAUCAUUUUCAUAUCAUUAAUGGUGAUAAUGACAAACAAGCUUUGUAGAAUAGACACGCUUGUGGUUGAGAUUUAUGACGCGGAAACGGUAUUUUAGAUGACUGACUUGAUGAGCCAUGGUAAAUAUGGUUAUGAGCCAGCUAAUAUUAAUAUAUUCACAUUUAGAUAAGGCUCAGAUAAUAGGUCGUGCGUUAAUAAUGCUAUUUUUGCCACAUGCUUUGACUGAAGCAUUUGAAGACAAUUCAUUAGUAAGUAAUAUUUUUCACCAUCUAGUACAAUUAUCACUGUAAUGAUUGUUAUUCUUUACUGUAAAAGUAAUACGUACUCACGGACAGUGUUACAUUUAUUAAAUAUAACUUUGACGAGUCGCAGUUAGUUUGGGUAUUUAAUUACACCACUGCAAUGAUCGUAGUGGUUAAACAAAUUUUUAAACGGAAAUAUUUUUACAGCAGUAAAAACUGUUUGUAUUUCAGUAAACCGUGGAAUUAGCACUGUACGUUUUUCUGUUACUGUAGGUAAAAUAAAACCAUUUUCGUAAUGAAUAGGGGGAAUUCCAGAAUAUUAAAUUUCACAACGUAUUGUACAUGUAGAUAAUGCAUUAUAGAUUCUUUAAACUUUCAGUGUGUGUUUUAGUAUGCGACGUGGAUAUUUUGAGUAUCCACUGUCAGCAACAAUUACAAGUUCAUUAAGUUAAAACAGCUAGCUGUCACCUACUUUUGGUCUUAAGGUAAAACAAAAGUUUUCUGAAUAUCAUUGGAAGUAGGUCUUAAAGUAAAAAGGCACAGUUAUUUAAAUUGUAAUGUCAUUGUCAGCGAUAAAUAUCUAUUUUAUGUGGUGUAAUUUUUAAAUAAACCAUAUAGCAAUAAGAAUGGGAUAAGAAAAUUGUUUUUACACAUUACUCCAAAUUAAGUAUUUUAGCACACCUAACACUGUGUACGUAUAUCAAUUAAAAGUAUAAAUUUGAAUAAUUUUAAGUCUCAAAAAUGGGGUUGGUCUGCAGCUGUUAAGUAGUGUGCACACUUACGUACCUGUAGAGGUCAGGCCAAUAAACACCACUUAACCCAAUACUAAAAGCCAUCAAAACUCAUAUUACAAACAUUAAAGAUGAAGUUCAGCUUUGUUUUACUCAUCUGUGUUUCAAUGAACACUAUUCCUGGUUCACUAAUUGGGAGGAGGCCUAUAAAAUCUGUUGAAUUCAAUUAAUCAGAUAACAAAGGCAUAAAAAUGCAAAUGACAGAUGCAGUGUUGGUUACCACGUAAUGAAUAAAAUAGGUGUAAUUCAUUCAGUAAGUACAUUAUAUAUUUUCUCCUAUGUGUUUUAUUUUGAGAGAAAGUAUUUGGUAGCAGUGGUUAAGGUAGUUUGCUUUUGAUGACAUUACUACAAAUCCAAUUCCUGUAUGAGACAAUUGCUGUAAAAUAUGUAAUAUUAAAAAUAUGAAUGGUCUUAGAUUUUUUGGUAUGCAAACAGUUGAUUAUAUUAAGGCUUCUAUCAACUAAAUAAGCUUGGCAUUUUUGUUUGCCAGUGAUAAUUAAACAAUGGUGAUUUUUCAAAGGUAGAUUUUAAUACAAAGAUAUCUGUUCUGUAAGUGCUAGACUAGUGCAGGAUUCUGGGUAUGUUCUGUUACAUGGUAACUUUUUUUUUAUUUACAAACGAAGGGCAACUGCCUUUAAAAAAAAAGACUCCCUCUUUGCUGUAGGAUGAUGGUAAUAACCCUGUAAUUACUAGCUAUUUUUAUUGGCUCUUAAUUUACCGGUCAUUUUUGAAAAGGUGGGAUUUUUUUUCCAAGAGCUUUUUGUAUUUUCAGGCUCAGUGGAUAAUUAUAGCUGUUGGCUUUUAUAAGGCCUACAACUGAGAAAUCCAUAUUAUGAAUUGAUUAUUUUAAAAAAUACUUCUUUGUAUUAUAAAUUUUCUCUACUUCUUUCAGAUGCAAGGAUAGUUUUGUAGUAAGUUAAUUUUUCACUUUGAAUUAGUUACAUACAUGGUUUUUACAUUGAAUAAAAGCCAUUGUGAUCAUUAUCAUUUUAUUGUAACAAAAAUACUUCAUGGAAAUAUUGUACACUUCAAGUAUACAGUCCACAUUUAAACCAUAUUUGCUAAAGAUGUGUUAUACAGCACUUUAAGUAUAUGAAUGUACAGUGUUUCUAAUAUGUAACAGAAAUAUUCAACUCAUCUUUAAUUUUAUUUUUCUGUACUAUUUUGUACUUGCCUACAGGUGUAACAAGGGAGAUGUGUGUGUAUGUUUGUGUGUGUGUGUGUGUGUAUGUAUGUGUCAUUGUCUGAAGUAGGCAUGUAGUCAGAGGAUAGUUCAGUGGUUUCCUAAUGGUUGUGAGUGUUUCCAGUCAAAAUAACCUGAUUAGUGCAUGUAUAAAAAGGGCUUUGCGACAUAAUUAUGAAGACUGAACAUGUAAGAAAUAAUCACGUAGUUUUAUUUUGUUGUUGUACGGGUUAGUAUCUCACAUGCACUUCCGCAGCAUUCUGGUGAAACACGUAUUAAAUGUUAUUGCUUAUAUUUAUUAUUAUUAUUUCUGGGGGGCUUUUUAUUGGGAGUGUGUGUUUGUCUGUGUGUGUACGCAUGUGCAUGUGUGUGAGCUGUCUAGGCCUCACUCCUCAGUAAAACUAUCUGUAGAACCAGAUCAACAUUUUCCACCCUUGGCUUUGCUUCCGAUAUCUGUAGAGAGGCACGGGACUAAGCAAGCAGUAGGGAGAGCAACGCCAUCCAAAUUUAUAAGGCAAAAAAGUGUUAAAAUCUGUAUAAAUAGUUUACCAUACCUUACAGUAAUCCCGACUUUUCCUUUGUUGCCCUGAUAUAAAUUCCCUGAAACUUCCUUAAUUUCUCCCCUUCUGUUAAAUGCUAACUGAACCAAGGCCAAGAUUAAAGUCUAAAAAGCUAUAUGGCAUGCUGCCUGUCUGUGUAUCUCUAUGUUUAUGUAGCUUGCCUCCAUCCCAACACACACAGACACUUUUACUAAGGAAAACAACACAUUCCCUCUCCUGUUUCCCUUUCUUGUUGCUUCUCCAAUGUGUAAUUUGCCCCCCCACCCCUCCGCCUGCACGAAUGUCUUGGCAGGCGAACAAGAGGGAGAGUGAGCGAAUGCCGUUGAGCGCUGGCUCAGCCCGGCCGAAGAGCCCCACAAAAUAAUUUUUUGUCCCUAAACAGUGACAGCUUUCGAGCUCAAAAUUAAUAUCCAAGUAAAGUGGUCCCAAAGGGACCCCCUGAUUUUUUUUCAGAUUUUUCAGGCUCCCUGAAAAGGUUCAUUUUAAUUGUAGAAAGUGAUGCCCCGGGAAAAAGCCUACACACACCCUGCUUUUUAUGCCGACCAAGUUCCUCAGACGGCAUCACUGGCCGCGGCAAAGCAGAGGCAGCACACCACUGGAGAGCAGGUUUCUGAAGUUUUACAUCCUUCAAGGGCUGCCUGAUGGGAGUGCAAUGCAGGACCAGGCUGUCAGCUUUUCAUCUACGUCUUGAUUUUCUCCUCUCCUCGUCCUCUCUCUCCUUCUUUCUCUCCCCCCUUUUUUUUUGUUGAGUAUACUGAGGCUGGCAAAGGAAGCGGCCUCAUUCUCCCUGCUUCUCUACCCAAUGCCUACAACAGUAUGGUGACCAUAUCACUUUACUUUAAAAAAAAUAAUAAAAAAAUCUGACUUCAGGAAUGCCAGGAUAUGCAUAUUAACAUCCAGAACCCAACACAGCAGUCCAUGGGGUGGACUUAGAACAAGCAGGUCACCCUCAAAGCCCAAUCUGCAGAUAGCAAUGUUUACCACUGCUGGAUCAGGAUAUUCAUGUAUAAUUAUACUUUUCGGUUGUGUUUUUGGCUUAUCAUGUCAAGAUAAUUCCUGAUAGGCUUGUCGCAUUGUUUUCUGUUUUGAAUGGUGUUUUGGUGCUAAAGAUAUUGUUUUCUCUUUUUGGAAAUCAUGGUAAAAAGUAUAAUAAUUAAAACUGUUUAAUUUGCUAUAGUACUGCAAGUAAAAAUAUACUUCCAUUACACUGUUAGCAUCACGUGUGUGAAAAUUGUGGGUGUUUGGUUGAUCUGAGCAGACUUGCUGAAUUUUCAGUACACCAAUUUGGGUGUGGUGUACUUAAGAAAAGUAUUUAUAACUUUUGCACUUUAAAAUACUAGGUAAAAUAUUUAUUGCUGUUAUUGAUCAUUUUAAUUAGGUACAAUUAUAUAUUUAAAACAGCAUUUGUGAAUAGAUGGUUUAUAUGCUGGUAAAAUAUUGCCACAUCACUUGCUUUUAUGUGCUGUCUUCCUUUGUGGGAUCCCUGUCACCAAAGUGUUUGUGGUGUCUUUUGAUUUAGUUUUAGAUGUGUGUGCAUGUUGCUGUGUUUAUAUGGCUGUUGUGCGUUUGUUGUUAAUAUUGUACAGUGAAACUGAGCCCAUGUUUUCACAUGCCUUUUUCUCUUUUUUUUGCCUGUCCUCUCCUCCAUUUUGUGUAGCCCUCCAUUUUGUCAUGAACACUUGCUGAGUAAUUAAUUCAGUUUCCAAAUUCAAGCCGCUUUUUUUUUCAUUUUAAUAUAAAAAAAAAACUUUCUGUAUUCUUGACUUUAGAAUCUGGUAUAUAGAUUCUAAUACUAUCAGAAGAACAGAUUUUAAUGCAUUUAGUUGAGUUGUAAAUUGCAGAACUAGUUUUAUGUGUUUUUUUACAUUGUUGUGAAUUUGAAAACAUUUUUCAUGUUACUACUUUUUUAUUGUACUAUAAACCUAAAAAGUAGGUUUUAGUAUAAAUACUAAAAGUAGUGUUUUUAAUGCACUUGGGCAAAUGUCUUACUGGGAUGAGAUGAUUAAUUUUAUUGUUUAAUCAUUAAGUCAUUGUCUUCCAGUGGGUGAGUCGGUAAUUUUAUAUGACUGUGACCUUCUAAUAGAUGACAUUCAAGUUGUUUAUGCAUAAUGCCCUUCACAUUCGGCAGAAUCAGGACAAAUCAAAAUAGACUCCUAAAAAUGAGCAAUUAUGGACACAGCAUUAUGGCUUAAAUGGCAUUACAGAAUUCAGAGUUACAGGGACCCUGUAAUAUUGGGCUGUCCUCUCCAAUUUGGGCUGCAAACAUAGAGACAAAACCACGGAACUACAUGACAGGAUUUUACAAUAUUGAUCAGAUUUGUAUUUUAAUUAACAAGAAAUUUAUUUGAAUCCACCACUGAUUGCAAAGUAAACUACUGUAAAAAUUGUGAUCCAAAACAUUAUUUUAGAAAGUGUUGAAGUGAUGUAUAGAAGCCUUGAAUUACAGCACCAUCCUUAAACCAAAUGUUUAACCCUACUAAAUAUAAUGAAAUGCAUCUGAUAUGGAUGAUACACAUAGGAGAAUGGAUAAUUCUUGUGUUGGACUGAGUUUCUUAAAGUUAGAUGUUAAAUGAACUAAUCACACCAUGAAGGCAGUGAGUGUUCCACCUUCAUUCAGACAAAUACAGUGUAUGAAUUCAAUGAGACUAACUAGAAGAACAUCAGAAAAUAAGUCAGUUAAUAUAUAAAUAAGCCAGAAAAUGAACCGUAGAAAUAGAUGUUGUCUGGUGUAUUUCAUCCCAAUCAGUAAAUGAUUUGUUCCAGUAUGGCACCCUUUUUCCCACUAUGUGGCCAAUCUGAUCCCUUCUAACUGCACUUGACUCCAGAGUGCCCUCUAGCAGCACAUCAUGGUUUGCAGGCUUCCCAAGAUACUUUCCAAACCAUUCUGUGCUGUUUCUGGGAACUCUGGAAAUUACAUUGGGGAGUUCCUCAGGAGUAGCACACCGCCAUCCCCCCAGUUUACUGUCGUUUUUGCAAUCAGCAAGCCAACUGCAGCCUAUAGUAAACAAAUGUUUUUGAUUGUGGGGUGAAACAUAUAAAAUGUUACAGGCUCUUGCUUGGGACCAUUAACACUUAAUACGUGUGGUGAGUGACUGAAUUUUAGGGAGGUGAAAGUAAGUGCUGCUGGGUUCUGCUGGACACAUUAAAGAUGGAUGAUACUUCACAUAGUGAAAGGCAUAUUAACUUCAGGCUUUAUUUUAUGCCAUUAUGUUUUGUAUAUCCUGUAAUUAUACCUAUUAUAUACCAUUUAUAAACCUGUUUCUUUGCUGUAUAGCAUUGGAGAAAUGUUUCAUAUUCAUUUGGCUGCUGAGAAAAUAGAAAAUUCUAGUAACACUUAAAGCAAUCAUAAUGCAUUUAUAAAGUUUCAUCAACAUGGCUAUAACAAUUUAUUAAAAGGCAUAACAUGUUACGGUAUAGCCAUGUUUAUUAUGCAUUAUGAAUGCUCUAUAAAGCUGUUAUCUCAUGCACUAUAUCUUCAUAAUGCAUUAUAAUGGUCAAUAUAAGCCAUUAUACAAUAUAUAUAGUGAAUUGUAGAUGAGAGCUUCAUUGAGCAUUCAUAAUGCGUAAUAAGCAGCUAUAAUGUGUUGUGCCUUUUUAUAAAUAGCUAUAGCUGUGUUGAUAAUACUUCAUGAAAACUUCAUAAUGCAUUAUAAUGCAAUCUAUAAUGCAUUAUACAUUAGUGCUUUAAGUAAAAUGUUGCCAAAAUUGUCAUACCAAGAAAUGUGUAUCUGCCUCACUUGUACAUCAUUUUGCGUAAAAAUAAUCUGCUAAAUAAUAUAAAUGUCUGAGAAACCGGGACUGAUUAAAUUUCUGCUGCAUAAAUACCUGUAAUCUAUGCUAAGCCAUUGCUAAGGAAAUGGAAGUGAAUGCAUCCAUGGCAGUGACCAGAUCGGGCCAGGUGACAUAGUGUGCAGGGCUGUAGCAGCAUGUCAAUAUUGGGAGCUGGUCUCUCUCUGGGCUGCCAGUAGGGCUCUGCUGCUGCAGUCAGGCAGACAUCACUCAUCGUCGUGUCCUGGGCUUGGGGCCUGGCCCAUAGAUGUGAGCAAGCACCGCAUUAGUGACCAACGUCACCACACCUCAACAUACCUUAAUGCGCAUGUAAAGAUACAAGAACCUUAUGGCGCUAACUACAGAUAGGUUUUCUGUAGAUACUCUGGUUGCUUUCUGAAAUCUGAAGACUUGCUGCUAAUUGGUCUCUCUAAAUUGCCCAGAGUGUGAUUGUGUAUGUGCCCUGCAAUAGCCUGGAAUCCUGACCAGGGUAUCCCCAGCUUGGUGCCUCAUGUUGUCUGGAGUAGUCUCCAGGCUCCCCUGCAAUCCUGACCAAGAAACAGUUACAAUAUGGAUGAACUGUACUGAAAUCAUUGUACAGUACUGAACUGCAGAAAAACUAUACUUAUGUUUUAUGUAAUGGUGCAGCAUGUUGAAUUCAGACAACUUAAUAUUGGUAUAAUCCCACAUUAUUUUAAAUUGGUAUCAAAACUGAUGUACAAUAAUUCAAAGCACCAAGCAACAGUUAUCACUUUCAGCUUUGGCAAAAUAAAAAUAUUAAAAUGUGAUUAGCAAAAGAAAA